rnacentral:tRNA from 1 species
GGAACUGUGGCUCAGUGGUCGAGUGCUUGCCUUGCAUGCAGGAAGCCCUGGGUUCCAUUCCUCGGUACCA